rnacentral:rRNA from 1 species
GAUGAACGCUGGCGGCGUGCUUAACACAUGCAAGUCGAACGAUGAAGCCCAGCUUGCUGGGUGGAUUAGUGGCGAACGGGUGAGUAACACGUGAGUAACCUGCCCUUGACACUGGGAUAAGCCUGGGAAACUGGGUCUAAUACUGGAUAUGACUUCUCAUCGCAUGGUGGGGGGUGGAAAGAUUUAUUGGUCUUGGAUGGACUCGCGGCCUAUCAGCUUGUUGGUGGGGUAAUGGCUCACCAAGGCGACGACGGGUAGCCGGCCUGAGAGGGUGACCGGCCACACUGGGACUGAGACACGGCCCAGACUCCUACGGGAGGCAGCAGUGGGGAAUAUUGCACAAUGGGCGGAAGCCUGAUGCAGCGACGCCGCGUGAGGGAUGACGGCCUUCGGGUUGUAAACCUCUUUCAGUAGGGAAGAAGCGAGAGUGACGGUACCUGCAGAAGAAGCGCCGGCUAACUACGUG